CCAGACACCACGCCCGCUACAUCUCUCUCGCCACGCCCGCACGCCCCUACCUAGGUCCGUUUGUGCCUUGUGUGACGUGGACAGCAGUGGAGGUAACGGAGUGAUCUGCCGGUGCUGUGUGGAGGCCAGUACAGCACACAGGUCAGGAACACAGGAGAAGCUGUCGAUCCAGAGGCCUUUAACGAGACUACACCUUGCACUACGCCUUCACUGACAACACCCUCUACCAACACCCGUCUCGCGCCAACACCACAGGACUGUCUUGCAUCGUCCACACUACUCUAAUGCCGCUGGUGAGAGGGAGGCGGAUUGGUGACAGUAAAGAUGGCAGCAGGGAGGAUUCCACUCACCAGAAGUUGGCGAUCCAAGGGCCUGAGGGCAGCGAUCCUGUGACUCCUGCACCAUAGGGAAGGUCUAUGGCUACUCACGGCCCUUACUGACCUUUCCCCCACCACCACCACCACCACCACCACAGCCGUCCAGCGAGGGAUUCACCGUCGCAUCACGUUCUGCUACUCAACAUCUGUCACCACCACCACAGCGCUGCCAACACCUUCUGGUCCUCGUGGUGUUGGUGGCCAGGGAAGGAGUUGGGGUCAGCGUGGCAAUCCGUUCUGCUAAUCAACACCUUCUGUCACCACCACCACAGCGCUGCCAACACCUUCUGGUCCUCGUGGUGUUGGUAGCCAGGGAAGGAGUUGGGGUCAGCGUGGCAGUCAGUCUUGUGGUGCCAUUUCUCCAUUCUAAUAAAUUGUGUGGUGUAUGUACGUGGAUUGGUGUGGUGUUGUGGUGUUGUCAUUAUGGUGUCACUAAAUAAUAAAUUGUGAAGAAAU